rnacentral:rRNA from 1 species
AGAGUUUGAUCCUGGCUCAGAAUCAACGCUGGCGGCGUGCCUCAGACAUGCAAGUCGAACGAUUAAAGCUCUCUUCGGAGAGUGCAUAGAGUGGCGCACGGGUGAGUAACACGAAGUAAUCUACCCUCGAGUGGGGAAUAACGUUCGGAAACGGACGCUAAUACCGCAUAAUGCAGCGGCACCGCAAGGUGACAGUUGUUAAAGAUUUAUCGCUUGAGGAGGAGCUUGCGGCAGAUUAGCUAGUUGGUAAGGUAAUGGCUUACCAAGGCUACGAUCUGUAACCGGUCUUAGAGGACGGUCGGUCACACUGACACUGAAUAACGGGUCAGACUCCUACGGGAGGCAGCAGUCGGGAAUUUUGGGCAAUGGGCGAAAGCCUGACCCAGCAACGCCGCGUGAAGGAUGAAGUAUUUCGGUAUGUAAACUUCGAAAGAAUAGGAAGAAUCAAUGACGGUACUAUUUAUAAGGUCCGGCUAACUACGUGCAGCAGCCGCGGUAAUACGUAGGGACCAAGCGUUGUUCGGAUUUACUGGGCGUAAAGGGCGCGUAGGCGGCGCGGUAAGUCACUUGUGAAAUCUCUGAGCUUAACUCAGAACGGCCAAGUGAUACUGCAGUGCUAGAGUGCGGAAGGGGCAAUCGGAAUUCUUGGUGUAGCGGUGAAAUGCGUAGAUAUCAAGAGGAACACCUGAGGUGAAGACGGGUUGCUGGGCCGACACUGACGCUGAGGCGCGAAAGCCAGG